rnacentral:rRNA from 1 species
AACGAACGCUGGCGGCAUGCCUAACACAUGCGAGUCGAACGAGACCUUCGGGUCUAUUGGCGCACGGGUGCGUAACGCGUGGGAACCUUCCCUUAGGUUCGGAAUAACUCCCCGAAAGGGGUGCUAAUACCGGAUAAUGUCUUCGGACCAAAGAUUUAUCGCCUUUGGAUGGGCCCGCGUUGGAUUAGCUAGUUGGUAGGGUAAAAGCCUACCAAGGCGACGAUCCAUAGCUGGUCUGAGAGGAUGAUCAGCCACACUGGGACUGAGACACGGCCCAGACUCCUACGGGAGGCAGCAGUGGGGAAUAUUGGACAAUGGGCGAAAGCCUGAUCCAGCAAUGCCGCGUGAGUGAUGAAGGCCUUAGGGUUGUAAAGCUCUUUUACCCGGGAUGAUAAUGACAGUACCGGGAGAAUAAGCUCCGGCUAACUCCGUG